GACAGAGGGGGCGAACGUUGUUCGGAAUUACUGGGCGUAAAGCGCAUGUAGGCGGCAGCGCAAGUCGGGCGUGAAAUCCCACGGCUCAACCGUGGAAGUGCACUCGAAACUGCGCAGCUAGAGUCCUGGAGAGGAAGGUGGAAUGCGUGGUGUAGAGGUGAAAUUCGUAGAUAUCAAGCGGAACACCGGUGGCGAAGGCGGCCUUCUGGACAGUGACUGACGCUGAGAUGCGAAAGCGUGGGGAGCAAACAGG
rnacentral:rRNA from 1 species